GACGAACGCUGGCGGCGUGCCUAAUACAUGCAAGUCGAACGCUGAAGGAGGAGCUUGCUUCUCCGGAUGAGUUGCGAACGGGUGAGUAACGCGUAGGUAACCUGCCUGGUAGCGGGGGAUAACUAUUGGAAACGAUAGCUAAUACCGCAUAACAGUAGAUAUCGCAUGAUAUCUGCUUGAAAGGUGCAAUUGCAUCACUACCAGAUGGACCUGCGUUGUAUUAGCUAGUUGGUGGGGUAACGGCCCACCAAGGCGACGAUCCAUAGCCGACCUGAGAGGGGGAGUGCACACACGGGAACUGGAGCACGGUCCAGACGCCGACGGGAGGCAGCAGUGGGGAAUAUGGGAAAAUGGGCGCAAGCCUGAUCCAGCCAGACCGCGGGGGUGAAGAAGGCCUUCGGGUUGUAAAGCCCUUUUGUGGGGAAAGAAAAGCAGCAGGUUAAGACCCCGCUGUUCGGACGGUACCCAAAGAAUAAGCACCGGCUAACUUCGGG
rnacentral:rRNA from 1 species